ensembl:lncRNA
CUUGGAGGGGGCUGAACCCUGGCUCUGGGGCGCGCAGCAGCCGUAGGGUGUGUCCGCAGCUCGGCUGCACCCGGCUCCUGGGAAAAUGUCCGGAGCUGGGCGAGGCUAGGGGGUGGGUGCUCUCCUUGUUUUGUUUGGUUGUGAAUGCGAGGAACCGCCACACCCUCGUUUGUUUCAGGAGGGAGGGAGCUGGCUUUGAAACUCCGCUGUUAGGAAACUCGCAAUAGGGCGGUUAGGAAACUCCAGUCCAAGGACUGUCCUGAUCUGUAGAGCCUGGGCCGUGGCCCGCCUGGCCGCGGUGCUCCAGCCAUUGGCCUGCCUGGCCGCCACCAGCGAAUCCACGUCUCUCCAUGUCCCUCGGGCUUGGACCUCGGGGGGUGGUUGUUUCCGACCAGAUUUCUCUAGCACUCCCAGCCUUUGUCGUUGUGUGACAGAACGGAAGCAGGGCAGCUGUCCACUUCUCUGCAGCCUGAGCUCAGACACCAGGGUUCUUCCCUAUGGACCCCGAUCCUGCUAUGGGUUUUGUUUUGUGCUUUCUAGUUGUUCACCACCAGACUUUGACUAAACAACACUGGAGCUUCCAAGAAUCUUUUUUUUUUUUUUUGCAAGAUUUCUUCUGACAGAAUUAUUGGGACUAUAGGAGACCAUAUGAACAAAACAACAAAACACUCUGAAAGAUGCUUCAAAAUCUAGAACUGUAACACAAUUCCUGGACAUUCCUGCUGGAAGGACAGAAGACUGGGGUGAUGAAAGUGGCCCAAGCAUUUUGAAGAUGACUCAUAGAGGCGACCUCAGAGCCGGAAACUGUGACUCAGCAUGGCAAAGGCAGUCAUACCAGUGACUCAUUGUGAUACCACACUGUGUUGAAAAAUCUCGUUCCUUAGCAUUUGGGGUGGGGUGAACGUUGUACAAACCAAGAAGGCACAGGAACCCAGGGAGUAAACCAUGUCUCACCAGUUUUCUCAUAUCCUAUUUCCAAGCUGUACAAGGGGGAAAAAUUAUCCAUGUAUUAGCUACUUUUCUAUUGCUGAGAUAAAACAUCAUUGUAUGUGUGAGAGCCAAAGUUAUGUUUUAUGUUUUAAUUACUGUGCUUAAGAUAUCCAUAAAACAAAAAUGCCUGUAGCCUGCAAGCCCUUUGCCCAAGGACAGAAAUCUCCUGAGAUACUGGAGGCUGUUGUUCAUAUAAGGUAACAAGCCUAAACAAGUUUGGUUUGAAGGGACCAGCUUCCCUUUUGGCAGCCAUAACGGCUUGUCUUAGUCAUUAGAAAGUCAGAUGCCUGCCUCAUGACAAGGAACCAAUCAGAAGUUAGUCAGUCACUAGAAAGUCAGAUGCCUGCCUCGUGACAAGGAACCAAUCAGAAGUUAGCUGGUGGCGCUAUGCUUUACAACCCUGUGUGUACAUUACGGACAAGCACACAGCAAUGACGCACAGAGCAUAGCAACCACCCUGGGAGGGCCUAUAGGCCAUAACAACCAGUUGACCAAUCAACUCAGGGCAAGCCCUCCAAGGCUGGAGGCACACCAAUUGUGAGCCUGUGCGUACCCCUAGACACUCCCCUUACGCUGCCCUAUAAGAUCUCGGUCCUGUGGCUUCUCAGAGUCUUUGCUAGCCAUCUGCCAUGGCAGGUGGGUGAAAGACCCGAGCUAACAUGGGGUUAGCUCGUUAAAUUACAAUAAAGCCUCAUGCAGUUUGCAGCAAGCUCUCAAAUCUGCCUGGUGAUUGGGGUGACCGCAGUCGUGGCCUGGGACCCCGGAUACCUGAGUUUUCCGGGGGUCUAACAGGUUGAUUCACAUGCAUGGGAUGAGUCUGUAUAGCAUGAACCACAUGUCUUAAAUCUCCUCCACCAGCUAGGGAUCAAGUAUUCAAAUACUUAAAACUAUGCUGACAUCUCAAUCAAACCACUACAGUCUAUAGUAAUUUCAUUUAGGCCUCAGGUUCCCAAGCCUAGCAAGGGGGUGUAGUCUUUUGUUUUGUUUUUCAAGUUACAGUUUCUCUAUGUAGCCUUGGCUGUCUUAGAACUAGCUCUGUAGACCAAGUUGGCCUCAAACUCACAGAGAUCUGCCUGCCUCUGACUCUUGAGUACUGGGACUAAAGUCGUGCACCACCACUGCCCGGCUUGAGGGU